rnacentral:rRNA from 1 species
UGGUUGGCGCAGCUACCAUGCAGUCGAGCGGUAACAGAUCCAGCUUGCUGGAUGCUGACGAGCGGCGGACGGGUGAGUAAUGCAUAGGAAUCUGCCCGAUAGUGGGGGAUAACCUGGGGAAACCCAGGCUAAUACCGCAUACGUCCUACGGGAGAAAGGGGGCUUCGGCUCCCGCUAUCGGAUGAGCCUAUGUCGGAUUAGCUAGUUGGUGAGGUAACGGCUCACCAAGGCGACGAUCCGUAGCUGGUCUGAGAGGAUGAUCAGCCACAUCGGGACUGAGACACGGCCCGAACUCCUACGGGAGGCAGCAGUGGGGAAUAUUGGACAAUGGGGGGAACCCUGAUCCAGCCAUGCCGCGUGUGUGAAGAAGGCCCUCGGGUUGUAAAGCACUUUCAGCGAGGAAGAACGCCUAGCGGUUAAUACCCGCUAGGAAAGACAUCACUCGCAGAAGAAGCACCGGCUAACUCCGUGCCAGCAGCCGCGGUAAUACGGAGGGUGCAAGCGUUAAUCGGAAUUACUGGGCGUAAAGCGCGCGUAGGUGGCUUGAUAAGCCGGUUGUGAAAGCCCCGGGCUCAACCUGGGAACGGCAUCCGGAACUGUCAAGCUAGAGUGCAGGAGAGGAAGGUAGAAUUCCCGGUGUAGCGGUGAAAUGCGUAGAGAUCGGGAGGAAUACCAGUGGCGAAGGCGGCCUUCUGGACUGACACUGACACUGAGGUGCGAAAGCGUGGGUAGCAAACAGGAUUAGAUACC